rnacentral:lncRNA from 1 species
GGAGAUCAAGAGAAGAAGGGGAAACCCUUUCUACUUCUAAAAUUCAGCAAUUAAAGGAAGAAAUUGAAGCUAAUCACCUGCAUGUUCACCCCAACCUAACCAUCUUAGCAUUCUUAACAUAAGGGAUUAAAGAAGAAAGCUCAAGUCAUUCCGGAACGCAAACAAACCACAACAAAGGUAAGUUUUCUCGCUUACGAAAUGUUAUUAGUAAAGGAACUUGUUAGCGGCGCUACUUGGAUCGAACACACUCAUGAUGCACGCUUCCGCGAAGAUCCUAGUUUGGUUUAAAUUUUUUUUUUUGGGUUAAACGUUUUUGUUAAAACGGGUCUUUUGUAUGUAAGUUAACCCGGUAGUGGUUAGAUGUUAACUUGUAGUUAAAGACUGGGUUAAUAACUUGUAAAACAUGUAUGGUAUGAACCCUUUUAUAACUAUUUUACUUAGUUAAAAUGAAGUUGAAUGCAGAAUUUUGCUUAUAAAAUUAUUCGACCCGUUUGGUAUUUUUGUCUAAUGAAGUUCGUUUGUCCCUU